rnacentral:lncRNA from 1 species
GGAAAGAUAACAAACAUAUCCUUGCAGAGCCUAUGGUGUGGGCCAUGAACCGUCCUCUCCCCAAGCCUUUACUUAUAUUCCCAGGCCAACUCCUUUAAAAGAUGGGUCACAGCAUUAUUGUCUCUAAUGUACAAAGAAUUAGUUGUGGCUCCUAGAGUUAACUAACUAGUCAAAUUUACACCAGGAGAAGUGGCUGGGAAAACAAGGUGGGCUCAGAUAUGUUUCACUCCAAAUUCAUGGUCUUCCCAUCACACCUGCAAUGGAUUCACCAACACACAGAGGAUAGUGAAAGUCUCAGUUUAUUUUCUAGUUAGAUUACUAACUUUGUUUACAUGAGGCAACGCACUGUCAUCAAGAAAAAAGAAGACAACAAAGAAGAGAACUGUUUUGCAAUAGCAGGCAGCACAGCGCAGGAGCUCUCAGACUACCUCAGAUGCCAAGAGCCUGGUUUGAAUACAAGCCUUGCCAUUGUGUGACUUUGGGCCAGUGUUUCCAGCCAUCAUGUCAGAGCUGAGUGGAGUGGCACUGGGUGCCAAGGCAAACACCCAGCCCAGCUGUGCUGGGAAGAACUGAGCUCCAAUGUGUCUUGUGACCCAGCUCCUCCCACCCACCUGGCUGUGUCUCCUAUCCUGCAGGUUUAAAGACCCCUGACGUGACUUAUUGCCAUUCUGCUACUGAGCCUUGAGAGAUUAUGGCUUGACUGGAUUUACAAGAGACCUUUUGAAAAGAUGCAGAGAAGGCAAGCAGCACACAUUUCCUGGUAAUAAAUUUUAAAGGUUGCUAAAACAUUCCAGAGAUUUUCACUCAACAUUCCUCUGGCCAACACAUCUGCAAUCUGCCAAUCCUUAAAAAUAGGUGUUUUUGCAUUUUAAUCUCACAAACAUCUUUGAAAAUGCAUUUCUUCUCUGCCCCUGUGUUGGACAAAUCCAGCUUUUUCCAUUUUCUAAAAACCACAGAAAUAUAAUGCUGCUUAAUUCAUACAAGACUGAGCUAACUGGAGUUAAAAUAAAAUUUCUGAGAGUUUGUUUGGCUCACUCUUCCCUACCAGAUGAUUCCAUUCUUAAAACGGUCCUGUGAUUAUAUUCUCUCAUUACAGAGGUGUCCAGAAAAAAAAUAAGGAGUGCAGUUCUGAAAUUAUAUAAAAGCAAAAUUAUUACUCUAAACGUAAGAGCUGUGAUAGAUCGUGUCAUUGACCAUGGUUCUUUUCCCCUGACACACACGUCCCCACCACCCACCCACUGUAUCCAUAUGCCUUUUGCCAUAUGACUUUGCAGCUCUCCCCACUAAAGGGGCAGCCAUGCGAUUUGCUUUGGCCAAUGAAAUGAGGCAGUAGUGGUGGUAUCCUAGUUCUGAGCCUAGGUCUCAAGAAGUCUUAUGUGUUUCUGCUUAUCCUCUUAUACCUCUGCCAUCACCAUGAGCCAAACAUCCCCCAAGUAGCCCACUGGUCCCAGGACAAGGAGGGAGACAUGAAGCAGAGCUCAUCCAGCUGCUGCAGCCCCACUUGACCCAGAGACCUACACUGGGAAGCAGAGCUGCCCAGUCAAGUCCAACCUGGAUGUGUGGAACCCCAGCCAACCUGAUGCAUGAGCACUCACGGCAUUGGAAGACAUCAUAAACAUUAAUGGAGAGCGGGAUGCCAGAAUAAGUUGAUCCAAAUGAUGCAGGAAUAUUUAGCAGCAAGGAGAAAGGAAUUCACAUUUCUCAGUACCCACUAUGUGCCAUACUUUGUGAUAAGAUGGUUUCCCUCCAAUAUAUCCUCAUUGUCAGCAAUGUCGGGAAACAGGAAUCAUUUCCCCUUCUACAGGUGAUAAAACUGAAGCAAGAAACAUACAGGCUAACAUCAGCUGAGCUGAGAUUUGAACUCCACUCUUUUUGACCCUGGAGCUGAUGAAUGCUGCUUCUAGAGGUUGAGUAUCCCUUAUCCGAAAUCCUUGGAACCAGGAGAUUUUUGGAUUUGGGAAUAUUUGCAUAUACAUAAUGAGAUAUCUUGGAGAUGGGACCCAAGUCUAAAUACAAAAUUAUUUUGUUGUAUAUACACCUUGUACACAUAGACUGAAGAUAAUUUUAUACAAUAUUUUAAAUAAUUUUGUGCGUGAAACAAAGUUGUGACUAUGUCUUGACUGUAAGACAUCUUGCAUGCAACCCAUCAUAUGAGGUCAGGUGCAGAAUUUUCCAUUUGUGGUGUCAUGUUAGUGCUCAAAAAUUUUCGGAUUUUGGAGCACUUCAGACUUUCGUUUUCCAGACGGGGGAUGCUCAACCUGUCUUAGAACCUGUGGUCUCCCAUCAUGCCUCCCUUCCCCAUUCCCUUGCUCCACUGGGGUCUGAGGUGGGAAAGCAAAAGGAGUUGCAGGUAACCCUCACUUUUCACACCAGGCAAUCUCUCCCCACAAUCUGUCACAUUCCUGAAGAACAAGGAAGCAGAGCACUCCACUGAAGAAAUUCUGUUAAAAUCUAUCCCCAACGUAUAAGCAUCCAUCUUUGUCCCAGUCUGGGUCUAACAUGAACAAAGUGCUUAAACAAUUCAGUAGAGGAGAAAGGGAACUUGGAGCAGCUCUGUCACCCUGAAGUGACACUGCCAUGCUGCAUUUCCUGUCUGUAAUAUCUCUUCAGAGCAAUUGUUUUCUUCUGUGAGGACACUUCAGAGAUUCACAGAGACAGAUGCUCUUGUGACUGACCAUAGCAAGUAUCAAAAGGCCUGGGUGGAAUUACGAAGCAUUUCUCGUGCACUGCGUAUUGGGAAGUGCUUCACAGCUGUGUGGCAGAUGUGAGUGGACAGAGGGGCAAGGGAACUGCCCCAAAGGAGGUGGCAGAGGAAGCAACAAGCCAGGGAUUGGCUGGCCGGUCCCAGCACAGCAACUGCAGCAGCAGCUUGCUAAGUUUCACAGGUGAAGCCAAAGGCUGGGGGGAAUGGAAAACAAAUAUCACUCCAUUAAAUUAAGGUCUGAGGAAAACAUGAUGAGGAAAGUCAAUAGUGAAUCAAAACAUUGAAAAGCCACUAACUUUGACUUUCCAUGUGCGUGUGCAAGUUCACGUGUGCAUGUGUGUCUGCAUGUCCAAGUUCUACACUGAUUCAAGAAAUAAUUAUAGAGGGCCUGCCAUAGGAUGGUGAGCAAAACAGUCUUGGCCUCUGUCCUGAUGGAGCAUGCAGUAUCACAGACUCUAUAUGUUCUAUUUCUAGGCCUUGUAUUUUGAGGAUAUAUGCCAGUGGAAUGAGAAUGGCUCUGUGACCUUGUUUAAGUCCCACCACUGUCUCAGGCAGGGUUUUCCAAAGUGUAGUCCUUAUACUAUUAUGUGGUGAAGAUGCUUAAUUGUUUUGUAAUUAUUUAAUGUGCGUAGGUAUCACAUCAAACCCAGUAUUUUCAAGGAUUUUUAUAGCUUAAGACAAGGCUUGUUAUAGGCAAGGUGGAUCAAUUCAAAAAAUAUAUGCUAACAAAAUAAUAGUGGAGGUGGUACAAAGAAACAGCAAAGGUAGUGAGAUGGCUUCACUGGUGUUUGUGAAUCACCAAGAUAAUGCACGUGGAAAUAAAAAUCAGUGUGGUCCAUAGAAAUACAAGGGGUUCUAAUUACCCCUCAGUGAGCACUUGCUCUCUCACUCACCCCAGCAAUGACAUAUUAAGCAAAGCACUGCCCUGACUGCAUAUGCUCUUGCCGACAACUUGGCCAGCAUUCAGAAGACACUAAGUGUGCUCUGGGAACUUCAGAAGGCACUAACAUUCCAUGGAGAACUUCACAAAGAGUGAGACCUAGUCCCUGGCCUAAAGAGAGUAUAAUUUAGUAGGAAAGAGAAGACAAACACACAAAUAACUGUAAAAUGGGAUAAGCCCCAAAGUGGAGGUACAAAGUCCCAUAGAAGAGGCUCAAUGAUAAGUCACGCCUGCCGGGUAAGGUCAAGAAAGACUUCAUGGAGAUUUGAGAUGGCAUCUGAGAUAAGCCAGGAAAGACGGUAGAAUUUCAACAACCAAAAAAGUGGGGAGAGGGAUGGGAGGCAUUCCAGAGAAGGAGAAAUGCUUGAGCAAUGGUACAGAGACCAGGAAGUUAUAUGAGGGCAGAAAGUCCCUGCUGUCUAUUUAGCUGGGAUAUAGAAUGCAAGUCAGUUAGAUGAUUAGGUGGGGUUAUAACAUAACUAGCCUUAAAUAGUGGACUGAGAAUUUUCCACUUAAUUUAAUGCAAAUGGCAGGGGAGGGGGCAGGCAAUGGAGAGCUGAAAACAGGACUGGAGAUGCGCUGGAGGGAAGUAACCCUGGAAAUGGGUGAAGUACGGGUUACUGUCACCCCAGCUCUGGUUCUUGUUAUUCCCUAGGAGAAGCAUAAUAGAAGUGUGAAUUUAGGGUAGCCAAAUGAUGACUUUGCAGAGGGAAUCUUUAGGACUUGUGACUUGAUUAAAAGCAGGGAGAUGGAUAGGGAACGUCCAAGGAUAACUAGAUAACUAGAGCUCUCCUGUUCCUCUGACUCAUGUGUGCUGAAACUGUAGAGUCAAACAAACACUUGUAAGUGGCGUGAUGUAAAUCCCUUAGGGGCCCAUGCCUGCCUCAAGAGAAGAACGUGUGGUCAGGAAAAACGACCGGGGGAAGUGAAAACGACACAAGACCCAGAGGAUAACCCUUAUUUUAUUCACACAUGCAAAUUUAGGCACAGCAAAAAGCAAAACGAAGUAUACCAAAUGUCAAGGGUUAAUUAUUAAUCAUUUCUAUAUUAAAUUAUGAGUUUUUCAGUAAGACACUUUUUGAUAAGAAACUUGAAUUACGUUCAUAACCAUCAAAAUAAAGAAAAUAAAAGAGACAGAUUUUCUUUGGUGGUGGGAGAACAUUAAGUAUUGUGGAAGCCUGAAAAAUGGUCCCCAAAAGAAUCUGGUCCUAAUCCUUAGAACUUGUGAGUAUUAUCUUACUUGGAAAAAGGGUUGUUUUAAGAUAAGGAUCUUGAGUUGGGAAGAUUGUCCUGAGUUAUUCAGGUAGGCUGUAAAUGCCAUCACAGGCAACCUUUUUACAUGGAUAUUUGACACAGAGUGGAGGAGACACCCAUAGGAGAAGGCUAUGUGAAGACAUAGCAUCGAGACACUUGAAGAUAUUGGCCUUCAAAUGGCACAGCCACAAGCAAAGGAAUGCCAGCAGCCACCAGGAAAAAGCAAAGAAUGGAUUCUCACCUAAAGUCUCCAGAGGGACUGUAGAGUAUCCUGCCAACACCUUGAUUUUGACUCUGUGAAACUGAUGUCAGGCUUCUGGCCUCCAGAACUGUGAGAGAAGAAAUUUCUGUUGUUUUAAACCUUCGAAUUUGUGGUAAUGUGUUAGAGCAGCCACAGGAAACUCAUAUUCUAAACUAGCAACUAUGAAAUGAGAAUUUCUAGUGUUCAGCUAAGAUACCACCGCAGAAGCAGCUGGAUAAUAUCAGAUGAGCCGAAAACUUCUCUUACCCCAUUUCCUUAUCCAUAAAAUUAGCAAAUAAUACCUGUCUUGCAGAGUUAAUUUUAAAGUUAUACAAGUAAAUACACUUUGAAAGUGACAAGUACUAGAAAAAUGUAGGGAAUUAUCCUACAAGUCUGGGUAUCCCCACCACCCAAGGCACAUGAAUGAUGCACAAUAAAAUAUACAAUUGGUUAGAAAUAGAACAAAGUGUUGAAAGUGCUUCAAAGCUCGAAAUGUAGGGCAUGAGGAAUGAAGGAAAUUCAGUUCAGGAAUAAAAUAUUUAUUCAGCAUCACUAAUAAGCCAGGCACUCUGCCAGAACCCAAAGGUAUAAAGAGGAACAAAUGAUAAUUCCUGCCCUGUGGAUGGCUUAUAGUCUAGGGUAGCAUUUUUACAGUGUGUUCACAGACCACUAAGCUCUCAAAUUUCUAUUUAAAGAUGCCAAAGGACCCAAGAUCAAGUGCUAUAUUCUAAUAUCUACCCUCUCCAUUUCCUACCCCCUCCCACAACCACACUUUCUGUAGACUCACAAUGUGUUAGUUAAUUUAAGGCAUUGAGUCCUGUUGUUAAUAAGCUGACUUGCCCUUAAUUAUCACAGGCUUUUCCAAAUUUCCUUGACAUGCACUAACCAUUUAACCUUGGGGAAAAGAAUGGAAUAACAUUCUUGCCUGCCUGUUGUAGCUGUCAUCAUAUUUAAAUGUAAUAAAACAUGGAAAGUGUUUAAUAAUUAUGGUGCUCUAGGCAAAAUAGCAGUCCUUCAAAAAUGCCCAUGCCCUAAUCUCCAGAACCUGUGAAUAUGUUACCUGACAUUGUAAAGCAACCUUGUAGGUGUGAUUAAAGUUACAAGCUCUGAGAAGAGAAAAUUACUCUGGAUUAUCUGGGUGGGCCCAGCUUAAUCAUAUGAACCCUUAAAAGUGGAGAAUGUUUUCCAGCUAAGGUCAGAGAAAGAGACUUGACAAAGGAAGAAGGGUCAUAGGGAUGUGAUACCGCUAGCUUUAGAGAUGAAGGAAGAGGACCACAGCCAAGAAAUGUGGGUAGCCUCUGAACACAAUACAAGGCAAGGACACGGGCUCUCUCCUUGAGCCUCUAGAAGGAGCACAGCCAUAAGGCAUUCUUAAACUAUGUCGCUUACCUUACCUACCUCAUCCACUUACUACUUGUAUGGCUAAUGGCAUGAGGAAGUCACUAAAACUCUCCGAGCCUUCCUGGCCUCCACUUAAAUGGGAGUGGUACCCACAGAGGGUCAGGAGGCUCAAUCAAAUCUCAAAUUCAUUAUCUCUUGCUUCUCAUGCACAAGUCAGUGUCAGCAGGAGGCAUCAGUGCUUCUGCAAAAAUAACUAAUUCAACAUUACUUUGUCAGAUCACAACCCUUCUUUGCUAAAACCUUCCAGAGGCUCCCUGUCUCACUCACAGAACAACCUCAUGGACUUCCUCUGUUCUCAGGAUUCUCAUGACACAAUAUGACCCCAUUUCCUCUGACUAUAGGUCCUUCCUCUCUCCCCCUUCCUGAUGGUGCUCCAGCCAUACUGGCCACCUUGCUGUUCCUGAGGCACACCAGGCAGCUUCCAGCCUCAGGACAUUUGCACUUGCUGUUUUCUCUGCUUAGAGCCCUCUUCCCCCAUAUCCACAUAGCUUGCUCCCUCAACUCCUUUAGAUCUUCAUUCGGCUAUUACCUUCUUCCUGAGGCCUUCCCUAACAACCCUAUGAAAAUUGCAAUACCUGCCAGCCAAACAUUCCCCAUCCUCCCUUCACUUUAAUUUCCGCCAUAGUAAUUUCAUCUUCUCACAUGCUGCAUAUUUAACUGUUUUGUUUACUUUCUUUCCUCCAUUGGAAUAUAAGCUCUAUCAGGGCUUUUCAUGAAGGACAUGCAAGUAGAUGCUUGAUAAAUAUUUGUUGGAUAAAUAAAUCAGUGCAUAUACCAAUCUGAAGUCACAAAAUCAAUAUGAGCAUCACCUUCCACUAAAGACAUAUCCUUUCAGUUAUCGAUGAAAAAUGAAGUUGAAAACACAAUAAUCAGCCUGUCAUUGAACAAUGCAGCUGCAGCUAAGAUCAAGUUCUUGACUGACUUUGCCGAGCCCAACCAAUUCAAAGGAAGAAUAAAAACAUGGUCAAGGGACCCAAGACCCAGCUCUUAUCCCCUACUCAGAGAAAACCCAGAGAGAACCAGCCUUCUGAUGUCUUGUCCUUCCUGGUUUUGACCAACCUCUAAAAACCAUAAGAACAGUUUGUCUCAGUAUUUCAGUACUUCCGCUUCCAGGCCCAGGAAAGAGCAGGAAGUGCAGGGGCGUGUGAAAAUCAAGAAAAAAGAAGAAUUAAACCCGCUACACAUGAAGCGCUCAAAGACUUCCUCUGUAACCUGUUGCAGCACACGAGUUUCAAUGUGCUUUCACUGAGAGCCCAGGGGGACUGUGCUGUCCCCAGAAUUUCGCACCAUGCCCCACACUCUCAAUGAACACUUGUUGCCUAAAAAAAAAAAAUUAAAUUUUAAGACCUUCAGUUUCUCUAUUUGUAUAAAGUGAUUAUAAAACCUACCUUAUGGAGCUGUCUGAUGAUCACAUAUGAAAUCGCAUAUGUUAAGUGCUUAUGCAGCGUCUGGCACAUGAUCAGCAUUAAUUUUAUGUGAACUGCCAUUUUGAUGGCAGUGGUGGCGAUCUGAUGGUGGAGGAGGUUUAGUUAGCGCUGGGUAGAUUGUAACAUAUACCUAUCCUUAAUGAUUUGUUCAACCUGGAAUUUUGGACGGAGCCUGGGCCUGAGGAGUUGAACCUUAGAGUGAUCCAUUUCUCUUGGAAAAGUCCUGUUCAGUUUGAGCAAGAAACUCUGGAAAGGGGAAGGAUGUAUUUUAAUCCCAGCUACCAGGGUGACAGGCAGCAGAACUGAAACAGCAUGACUAAGCACAGACCAUCUCCUUUCAUUACAUGGGGGGCUGAGGUCUUUCCUCUCUACUGCCAGGGACUGGAGAAAGGAAAGAUACCCAGUUUAAUUGCAUCUGAUAAACGGAUAGUAAAGUCCAAGAGUAGACAAUUGGAAUAUUUCCCCAGCCUUUUUCCUGUUAGGUUCUCAAAGCUAGAAAAAAAAUGCUGAAUGUCUUUUCCCUAACUUCAUAUCGCCAUAUGAAGCCCAGCUAAGUUUCCCUUGAAGUUCACUAGCCCAUUUCCUCUGUAGGUCUACAGGGGCCACCUGCCAAUGUGCAGGGAUUAAAUGAAGAAAUAAAGACCUAAGGCCUUUCUAGAAGCUAAAAACCCUAGGACUCCCUAAACACUUUGGAGUUGCAGCUCCCAUUGGUUAAGAGGUAUGGAUCGCAUAGUUUCAAGCUGAGCCAUGCUUUUCGGAAUACUCUGCUUUUUCUCAUCUUUUUCCACUAUAGUAAUACUAUAAAUGAGAUCUCUUCCAGAAAUAAAGGCAGAAAGCCCCAAGCUCGAUGCUAAAGAUGUUUGUGACAGAGUUCUGCAAGAAUAGGAUAUUUGCAGUCUCGUCUGCGAUAAUCAUUUCAGAAGUGGCUGCUGAUACUGGACUAUGUGGCAGAGGAGACUCCUGACUUUCACUUCUCUAAAUAACCAACAACUCCUCACUGUCCCUGUGUAAAGCUAUCAUGGCUGUGGGGAAGGAGAGACACUUCAAGGACAGCUCAGAGCAAAGUACCAGUUUAAAAUCUUCUCACGAGAAGAGCAGCAUCCUUCACUCAUUUGUCCUUUCACUGAGGGUGCACUACAUGUACUCACUGUGCUAGAUAUUGGGAAUACAGGGCUGAGUGAGACAUGGGCAGACUCCCUGAGAGGUAACACUCAGACUACAUCUCAAAGGAUAACUAGAUAUCCGCCAAUCAAGAUGGAGCAGCAGGCCAGGUAUACAGGCUCAGCAUCACUUUGGGCGUUGCUUUAUCUUAAAAAGCUGCCUGAACCACUUAAAGGGACCCACUGCUGCCUUCAAAAGAGUACAGUGAUAUGCAUCUUCCUGAGGUCUUUCUAAGCCACUUCUGGAGCUAGAUAUAUGUUUCUCAGAUGUCUCUGAAACAAGGUUUCCAGGCAACUACAUCUGAGGCCAUUGGUGCUGCAAUAUGACUGAAAGGAAAGAGGGUGUGUACUUCAACAGCCUUGCUGUAAGCAAGGUGGCUUCAUCCCCUCCCCCCACCUGAAAUUGAGAAACACAGAAGUGACCACAGUCCUAGGCCACUGUGUGCAAAAAUGGGAAAUGUCACUCAUCAGGUCCUCUCCCACGUUUAACCAGAAUCAUCAGCCUAUAGAUUCGGGAACUGAGUGGCUUGACCAUUUUGCACGUAAGCCAUAUGCAAUUGGUCCAAAGGAGACCAGUGAGCAACAAUUCAAUUUAGAGUUCACUGAACUCUCUGGUUUGGGAAGGAAAUUGCUAGUAAUCAAUUGCAGCAAGCAUACAGGCUCAGGGCCAGGAAGAGAAAAAUCACUUUAAUGGGCAAAGCAGAUGUUGCUAAAUUCAUUGCAAAAGUGAGAUGGGCACAGAGCCAGGCCUUGCAUGAGAGAUGCUGAUCUGUUCUCCUGAAUGAACAAAACAGAGACAUUUCAAAAAGGGGGGUUUCUAUGAAAGAAGCCAGAGGUCUGUGUCCCUGUUAGAGUAAAUAAAAGAAAAUGCACCCAGGUGUUCAGGUCCCCCAUACCACCACAGGACUUAAAGUUGUUAACAUCUUACGAGGAUUUUUAAACAAAUCCAGAAUACUAGCAAAAACUGCCUGGGGAGUCUUCAUUCGGUUCUAAGGAGAGUAUGUGGUAGAGUAGAGAGAACACGGGCUUUGGCAUCAGAUCUGUUUCUUCCAUGAAUUAGUUGCUUCCACCACCAAGAAGUUGUAUGACUUGGGCAAAGUUCUUAACACCUCUCAGUCUCAGUUUCCUCCACUGUAAAAUGGGCCUAAUGUCAUUUACCUUAUUAGAGCAGUUGUGAGGACUAGUGAUAAUGUCUGUAAAGUAUGGUAGAGAAAUGCACUUAAGCAAUAACAUGUUUUCAGAACCAUGAAAAGACUAGUGACACUAGGAUGUGGGGAGAAUUGGUUAAUGACAGGGCAGGGUGGGGUGGGAUGGGGAGAAUUUCUGGCCCAAUAUUGACCAGCUUUGGCACGUGCUCUUGGUGAAGGAUUACUUCACAGGUCACAUGUUUCUUUGCAUGCUUAGGCUGAUAAAACAUCUCUCAAGAAUAUAAGAGCUCAGCAAGUGUAGGAGCAUAGCCCAAGAAAGGUCACUGUGUGUACUUAGAACAUUUUCAUGGAGUAGCUUCAAAUGCAAGCCUCCUAAAAGAGAGUUGAUUCUGAUUCCCCAAAUCUGAAAUGUUCUUUACUUACCUAAUUCCCACUCAUCCUUCAAGGCCCAACCAGAGUCCCUCCUCUGAGAAUCAUCCCAAAUUCCUCUGGAGCUCACCAUCUCUACCUACUCACAUAUUGCCCAGUUUAUAUCAGCUGCCUUCAAUCCUUCCUGGAACAAGACAUUAAUCCCAUUCAGUAAAAACUUUAAAUGCUACUUACUCAAUUCUUUGGCCUGUCAUAGUAAAGUGUCAUACACUGAUCAUCACCUGAAUCAUGUGGUUCUACCCCAAAUACUUAGCAACUUCCUAGAGUUUAGAUAUUGAACUUGCACUAAUUAAAAUCUCUAAAUCAGAAGGCAGAGAGAGCUGAGGGCUCUGACACUUGACUAGUUGUGUGAGCUUGGGCCAAGUUUCAUGGCCUUCUCAAGCCUUAGUUCUCUCAUCUGUAUACUGGAGAUAAUAAUAGCACCUUCCUCCUAGGACUUGUGUGAGACUUUCGUGAGCUCGGUCCUGCAAAGUGCUCAGCACUACAUUGUUAGCUGAGUAGUAACAGUCACUUUCCUGAAAGCUUCUUCACCCAGAGGGGCUAGCCCAUGCCUGUGCACAAAGAAUGUCAAAUUACAUUCACACCCCCUGAGAUUUCCAAGCUACAGGCCAUUUUCACAGUGGCCACUCUCCAGAAAGCUAAGUCCUGCUGAAAGUAUGUUUCCAAGUUGCCAUCACCUUUAGAAUAUUUCUGAUAAGCAAGCAAAACUGCCUGUGGCCUUUGGCAGUGAAUUUCUGGGGGCUGGUAAGAGGAGGAUGUUUACCAGAGCACAAAGGCCAGGUCAUAAGCAGAGAAUAUUUUGGCCCAGACAGAUCCCAGAGAAGGCAUUUUUGCCAAGCACAGACUCCAUUCUCAGGUCCUGAAGUCAGCAUUAGACACUAAACAAACCUUCCCGGGUUCACAUUUGUUUACUUUUGGCCAAAUGCAACUUCCUGUUUGAAAGGAAAAGGGCAGUAAAGCUUUCUAUAGCCUUCUUGGACAUAAAGGCUCUACUUGAAACAAUUGAUUUGCUAAGGAUAAAUGAAUCAAACGUACACAAUGGGGAUCUCCCCUCCCCUCAAAAUGUUCAUGUUUCAACAGGGAAAGUGCUCAACAAAACCAAAACAAAUAUUUUUUCAACUGCUGGCCAAUGAAGAUUGUUUAGGCCAUUUCUUCUCCUGAGAGCAAGAAAAACAGACAUCAGGAGAGAGCUGAGUUACAUGUGCUGUGUCAGAGAAGUCACUGCGACACACUUGGGGGUUGAGAUUUCAGUUACACAGAAAGUCACAAAGUUGAAGUUCCCACAGCCACUCAAACCACAUUCCCUAGCAUGAACACAGAACAACCAGCUCUUUCAUUACGUGACUACGUCCCAAACCACGUCCUUCAGGAUCCUGAAAUUCCCUCGGAUGCCCAUGCGCCCUGCACCUAGGUUUGAAAACUGACUACCAACCCCACAUAAAUCCACCAUAAGAUUUUACAAGGAUUCAAAAUAACUUACUCUGUGUGAGGAGGUGGGGGAUGGGGAGGGGAGGUCUGUACUUUUAGAGCAUCUAGCAAAGUUAGCAUAAAAUAUAGACUUUAACUUGGGUUUAUAUAUAAAAUGAAGGUGCUCUCUACAAAUCUUGAAUCUCCUUGUCAUAAAAUAUUAAAUUUGUAAAGGACCUUAAAAAUCUUCUGGUCAACCUCCCCCUAUACACAAAUAUAUAAAUAAUAUAGAUGAGGAGUAAAGAGGUCGGGAGACAUUUCCUCCUUAGACUGUAGACGUCUUGCUUCUUAGGGCAAGAACUAUUUUGCUUAUCUUCUUAUUCUUUAAC